GAUGAACGCUGGCGGCGUGCCUAAUACAUGCAAGUCGAGCGAACAGACGAGGAGCUUGCUCCUCUGACGUUAGCGGCGGACGGGUGAGUAACACGUGGAUAACCCACCUAUAAGACUGGGAUAACUUCGGGAAACCGGAGCUAAUACCGGAUAAUAUAUUGAACCGCAUGGUUCAAUAGUGAAAGACGGUUUUGCUGUCACUUAUAGAUGGAUCCGCGCCGCAUUAGCUAGUUGGUAAGGUAACGGCUUACCAAGGCAACGAUGCGUAGCCGACCUGAGAGGGUGAUCGGCCAGACUGGAACUGAGACACGGUCCAGACUCCUACGGGAGGCAGCAGUAGGGAAUCUUCCGCGAUGGGCGAGAGCCUGACGGAGCAACGCCGCGUGAGUGAUGAAGGUCUUCGGAUCGUAAAACUCUGUUAUUAGGGAAGAACAAAUGUGUAAGUAACUAUGCACGUCUUGACGGUACCUAAUCAGAAAGCCACGGCUAACUACGUG
rnacentral:rRNA from 1 species